AAUUAGUAUUUCACUGGAUUGUACUUGUCAUGCCAUACAUGGAUGCCUAUGAUAAGCUUCAUGCCGUGUACAAUGUGUUCUUUUAUCUUCUCAGAAAUUAUGAUAUUCUUCCAGAAAUCUGUUACAUUUUGAAUCAACUGACUUCAUAUCCUGAUGUUACAUUAUUCCGAAUAAAUGAGCUGAUUUUGUUGGGGAA
rnacentral:lncRNA from 1 species